rnacentral:ncRNA from 1 species
GAUGGAAUAAUGUAGGCAAGGAAAGUCGGCACAUUGGAUUUUUAACUUUGAGAAAAGGAUUGGCUCUGAGGGCUGGGCAUGGGGGUCCAAGUCCCGAAUGAGACGGCUAUCAGUGGACUACUCGAGCUGCUCUAGCGGUGAGAGUGGGUCAUCGCGGGCUAGCUGUGAGAUGAAUUGGGCAUGAUUCCUUCGGGUGUCUUUCCCACGCGCCGAACAGCCAACUAAGAACUGGUAUGGACAAGGGGAAUCUGACUAUUUAAUUAAAACAAAGCAUUGUGAUGGUCCCAAUGGAUAUUCACGCAAUGUGAUUUUGUCCCAGUGCUCUGAAUGUCAAAGUUAUGAAAUUCAACCAAUCACGGGUAAACGGCGAGAGUAACUAUGAAUCGCUUAAGGUAUCCAAAUGCCUCGUCAUCUAAUUAGAGAUAUGCAUAAAUGGAUUGACAAGAUUCCCACUAUCCCUGUCUACUAUCCAGUAAAACCACAGCCAAGGGAAUGGGCUUGGUAGAAUCAGCGGGGAAACAAGACCCUGUUGUGCUUAACUCUAGUCUGACUUUGUGAAAUGACUUUAGAGGUGUAGUAUAAGUGGGAUCCGAGAGGCGAAAGUGAAAUACCACUACUUUUUAUGUUAAUUUACUUAUUCCGUGAAUCGAAAGUGGGGCAGUGCCUCUCUUUUUAUACCCAAGGCUUGCUCUGCAGGCCGAUCCGAUUGGAAGACAUUGUCAAGUGGGGAGUUUGGAUGGGGAAACACAUCUAUUAAAAGAUAACGCAGGUGUCCUAAGAUGAGCUUAAUGAGACAAAAAUCUUGUGUGGAAUAGAAGGGUAAAAGCACAUUUGUUUAUGAUUUCCAGUAUGAAUACGAACCGUGAAAGUGUGGCCUAACGAUCCUUUAGACCCUCAGAAUUUGAAGCUAGAGGUGUCAGCAAAGUUACCACGGGGAUAGUUGGAUUAUGGCAGCCAAUCGAUCAUAGCGACGUUGCUUUUUGAUCCUUCGAUGUCGGCUCUUCCUAUCAUUGUGACGAAGAAUUCACCAAGUGUUGGAUUGUACACCCACCAAUAGAAAAUUUGAGCUGAAUUUAGACUGUCGUGAGAUAGAUUAGUAUUAUCCUAAUAAUGAUAGUGUCACAAUAGUAAUUCAACCUAGUACAAGAGAAACCGUUGACUCAUAUAAUUGUUCAUCAUGAUUCAUUAAAAAUCUAGUGGUACAAAGCUAUCAUAUGUUGGAUUAUGACUGUCUGCCUCUAAGUCAGAAUUUGGGCUAGAGGCGAUGCAUGACCCACCGUCUGCUUGCCGACCAACAGUGGGGGCCUCGGCCCUCAAGGGCACGUAUCAUUGACUAAGCCAUCACGGUAGAAGAAUUGCGAUGGCUUCCUUGAAUUACAAUUUCCAUUGAGUGGCGGGUAGAAUCCUUUGCUGAUGACUUAAAUAUGUGACGGGGUAUUGUAAGUGGCAGAGUGGCCUUGCUUCUAUGAUCCCUUGAGAUUCAUCCCUUUGUCGCUCAAGUUC